AUUUUGAUGCUUUUAUAUUGCUUUGGAAGAAUUAUUUUUCAUUUAAAUAUUUUUCUUUUCUUAUUGACCACCCAAUUAUAUUUUUUUAAGAAUAUAAGAUUAUGUUGGUUAAGAUUCGCGUCUAAUAUUCAGGUUUCCUUUCUUAUCGAAUAUAUAGCUUAUUUCAAAAUUUAGGCUAAUAACUUUUCCUUUCUUAUUUCCCAUCCAAUUCGAUUUUCUUUUAGAAAAAGAUUCUGUCAUUCGAGAAUUUGGAUUAAAAGAGGGUUCAUCACAUUUGAAAGUAUUUAAACACCGUCGUUGCUGAUUUAUAAAAGGAGCUCUGCCUCCUCUCUGGCCACAUACAUCCAUCAACUCUUCCAGCCCAUGUCAAUUACUGGAACGUUUUCGCAAUCAACGACUUCAGAGAGGCGUGGCCUAUCGGAUUGAGGGCGGAUAUAACUUUGAGGGAUAGUAGAGUGGCGGAUUCCGCUGGACAGAACUUUUGUUUCCAUGGAA